CUAUAUCCACUAACAGUUAGUUACCUCUUAUAUCUUUAAUUUUUUUUUUUUUGAGGGGAACCUCUUAUAUCUUUAUUUUAAAAAGAUAAAACCUUAAAUAUACUAUUCUUUAAUUACUUAAUUUUACUUUUAAUUUACUAACUCCAUCAUUAACAAAAUAUAGGCAAAUGCAAUUUGAAAGCGAAUAAAACAAAAAAGCCAAAAGCGUAGUUCUGCUUGCUUGUUUCUCAUCUUCCCACUUCCCUCAAACACCCGAUAGAACAGAACUGCACCACCCGCCUGAAUUUUGCGUCGAAAUUCAAUCGCCGGAAACCGUCGCAUUACCUUGCUGGCCAAUUCAUCUGUCUGUGGAGUCGUGUUUGUCGUCUAAUUACGUCUUUGCCGGUAUCUCAAUUUUGUCCGCCAGUGUUCUAUUACCACCACCACGCCCCAGCGACGUCACCACGCCAUAACGACGCCAAUUCGUCCGCCGGUAUCCUGUACUUUGGCGGAGUUACAACUGAAUUUUCUCAAAAUAAGCUUGAUGAGCUCAGAGACUUGUGGAUCAAAUAUGUGGAUGAAUAUAAACAAGUGGAUGAAGAAGAAUCGAAAGAUAUGACUAUUUUAAAUAGGAUGUGUGUAUUUUCUUUUUGAGCGGGAUUGGAAAGGUGCUUCUAUUUUUGUGCACAUGAAUUGGAAGAAACAGGCCUAGGUGCUCUAUUAGUUUUUAUUAACUUGAAUUUUUGGAAUCUUUUAAACAUUACAUUGAUAUGCAUGUGAUUUUAUAGUGAAUGAUAUUGAAUGAAUGAUAUCCUGAUCGAAA